UACAGAGGUCUCAAGCGUUGUUCGGAUUCAUUGGGCGUAAAGGGUGCGUAGGCGGCGCGGUAAGUCGGGUGUGAAAUCUCGGAGCUUAACUCCGGAACUGCAUUCGAUACUGCCGUGCUUGAGGACUGGAGAGGAGACUGGAAUUUACGGUGUAGCGGUGAAAUGCGCAGAUAUCAGGAAGAACACCCGUGGCUAAGGCGGUUCUCUAGUACGGUACUGACGCUGAGACGCGAAAGCGUGGGGAGCGAACAGG
rnacentral:rRNA from 1 species